UACGUAGGUGGCAAGCGUUGUCCGGAUUUAUUGGGUUUAAAGGGUGCGUAGGCGGUUGAUUAAGUCAGUUGUGAAAUACGGUAGCUCAACUAUCGAGGUGCAAUUGAUACUGGUUGACUUGAGUACAGACGAGGUAGGCGGAAUUGACGGUGUAGCGGUGAAAUGCAUAGAUAUCGUCAAGAACACCGAUAGCGAAGGCAGCUUACUAGACUGUAACUGACGCUGAGGCACGAAAGUGUGGGGAUCAAACAGG
rnacentral:rRNA from 1 species